UACGUAGGGGGCGAGCGUUGUCCGGAUUUACUGGGCGUAAAGAGCUUGUAGGCGGUUUGUCGCGUCUGCUGUGAAAAUCCGGGGCUCAACCCCGGACUUGCAGUGGGUACGGGCAGACUAGAGUUCGGCAGGGGAGACUGGAAUUCCUGGUGUAGCGGUGAAAUGCGCAGAUAUCAGGAGGAACACCGGUGGCGAAGGCGGGUCUCUGGGCCGAUGACUGACGCUGAGGAGCGAAAGCGUGGGGAGCGAACAGG
rnacentral:rRNA from 1 species